CCCCGGUAAACGGCGGCCGUAACUAUAACGGUCCUAAGGUAGCGAAAUUCCUUGUCGGGUAAGUUCCGACCUGCACGAAUGGCGUAAUGAUGGCCAGGCUGUCUCCACCCGAGACUCAGUGAAAUUGAACUCGCUGUGAAGAUGCAGUGUACCCGCGGCAAGACGGAAAGACCCCGUGAACCUUUACUAUAGCUUGACACUGAACAUUGAGCCUUGAUGUGUAGGAUAGGUGGGAGGCUUUGAAGUGUGGACGCCAGUCUGCAUGGAGCCGACCUUGAAAUACCACCCUUUAAUGUUUGAUGUUCUAACGUGGACCCGUAAUCCGGGUUGCGGACAGUGUCUGGUGGGUAGUUUGACUGGGGCGGUCUCCUCCUAAAGAGUAACGGAGGAGCACGAAGGUUGGCUAAUCCUGGUCGGACAUCAGGAGGUUAGUGCAAUGGCAUAAGCCAGCUUGACUGCGAGCGUGACGGCGCGAGCAGGUGCGAAAGCAGGUCAUAGUGAUCCGGUGGUUCUGAAUGGAAGGGCCAUCGCUCAACGGAUAAAAGGUACUCCGGGGAUAACAGGCUGAUACCGCCCAAGAGUUCAUAUCGACGGCGGUGUUUGGCACCUCGAUGUCGGCUCAUCACAUCCUGGGGCUGAAGUAGGUCCCAAGGGUAUGGCUGUUCGCCAUUUAAAGUGGUACGCGAGCUGGGUUUAGAACGUCGUGAGACAGUUCGGUCCCUAUCUGCCGUGGGCGCUGGAGAACUGAGGGGGGCUGCUCCUAGUACGAGAGGACCGGAGUGGACGCAUCACUGGUGUUCGGGUUGUCAUGCCAAUGGCACUG
rnacentral:rRNA from 1 species